UGCAGGCGAUUCUUUCCGCAGCGGAUGACAUUGACAUUUUGUUAUGUUUAGAAAUCGAACACGGAUGUUGUUAAAAUAAAUAUUUGGAGGGUCAAGAGUUCAACAACAAAUUGUAAUUGCUUUUGAAUUAGAAUCUAUGUCUCAAGAUAAUAUAAUGAAUUAAUAAAAAUGCAAUUAAAAUCAUUAUUAUGGUAAACAAUUAUAUUUUCCUAGCUGUCAGUUCUGAUAAAAUUACUAAACGAAGAGACAACUGCCAAAGUUUGCGUUCCAGACCAAAAUGAAAAUAGUUUAAUUCUUAGCAUAGAAAAUCAAAACAGUCGGAUUAUUCCUAUGAAAAGGCAUGAAAGUAAAAGAGAUACCGAUAAAACAUAUGAUCAAUAUUUACUAUGUAGAAAUCUCUGGAAUAAAAUAUUUUUGAAUUUUAAUUCAAUUCUGUUCGAUUCAAAGUUAGCAUUGUUCAUUAUCUUAAAACAGAAAAUAAGUUAUAAUACAUGAAUAUGACUUCAAUUGCUCCAUCAGAUUCAGAGUCAAAUGUAAGCGGUUUCAUGCGGUACAGUGAUAAAGAUGUUAAAAAUUUGUACACUUCAAUUAUACAGAACAUGGAAACAAUCAGCCAAGAUAUCUUACAAGUUGAAAAUAAUAUUAAAAACCUAAUGAAACAAGCAGGCCCUUUGGAGGGUCAACUUUCCAUUCUUCUGCAAUCACUGCCAAAACCAAACUUGGAACUACCUAUGGAUACCGAUUAGCUGUUAUUUUAGAACGAUUACUUGGUUGAUAUAUGAUGAUGUAUGUAUUUUUAAGAAAUAAAAAUAUUAUCGAGUGUAGGAAAGGUGUGCAUAAGCCUUAGGACUUUUUAAGUAACUGAAAUAAAACUUCUUUCAAAUG